rnacentral:sRNA from 1 species
CGCCAUAUCAGUGAUAUGGUUGUUGUGUUAGAUAUUGUUAUAAUGAUCCGGAUGAUUUUUAUGAAAAAGACAUUAUUGGCCAGUUCUUUG